rnacentral:rRNA from 1 species
GCAGCCGCGGUAAUUCCAGCUCCAAUAGCGUAUAUUAAAGUUGUUGCAGUUAAAAAGCUCGUAGUUGAAUUUCGGGGUCUGUCCAUUGGUCGGGCUUUACGGUCCGUACUGGUGUGAUAGGUUCCUACCUUCUGAAUAACCGGCAUGCCAUUUAGUUGGUGCGCCGGGGAAGCAGAGCUAUUACCUUGAAAAAAUUAGAGUGCUUAAAGCAGGCUAUUGCUUGAAUAGAUUAGCAUGGAAUAAUAAAAUAGGACGGCAUGGUUCUAUUUUGUUGGUUUCUAGGAUCACCGUAAUGAUUAAUAGGGAUAGUUGGG